AAAGAUAUAGCAUAUUCUUCUGAAUAUACUUUAUUAACCCGCUCCGAGUACCUUACCCAUUGCUUCCGCGAGGCUGUCCUCACGGCCCUCUGAAGAUUUAUCUUUGGGGAGUCCUUGCGGAAGGUAUACAAUAAACUCUUGCAUUACCAUGUCAACUGUCUGAAUCUGUUUAAAACAAAUAUUA
rnacentral:misc_RNA from 1 species